AAUGAGCUGUAAGAUCGGUGGCUUCGAGAUGAUCAGCUAACUGCUGCACUAUUAUCCCAAAACUAAUGAAACUAGACAGACGAUCUGCUUUCGGGGACGCUGUACUUCGAACUUUAACUAAUAACAUGUUGAGGAGUUUCUCUGGACGGCCAAAUAACAUCCUUAGCGUUUCAAUAAUCUUUGGGACAGCUUUUGGUAACAGUAGUCUGCUUCUUACCGCUUCCAACGCUUCACCUUUCAAGCAUUCCUGAAGACGUGCCAAAUUUUCUAGAUCUGAAAAUCCGCACGCUUUCGUUGACGUUUCGUAGCUGCUUAUAAACAUAGGCCAUUCUUCUAAUUUCCCAGAAAAGACUGGUAACUUUUUUGAAAGAAACUGACGCGCAGAAAGCUGAGCCUUUGUCGGGUCGUAUUGGCUACGAUGCUUGCGAAGUUGCGUCUCCUUUUUUCUUCUUGCUGGUACUUCAUCAUUUUCACUUUUACCAGAACUCUCUUUUUCCAUUUCGCUGCCAUCUUCUUUCUCGAAUCUAUCUUCUUCAUCCACCGAGCUAUUUUCUUCUUCUACGUAACUUUCUGUAUCGCUAUAGCUAUCUUCAUCCGAAAUGUCAUUUUUAUCCGUUGAACUAUUUUCACUUUCAGACUCCGUAACUUCAGGCACUAUUUUCAUUUUCCCGCCGCUAUUGUUUUCCUUCUUUUUCGGGAUUUCCGGAUGACCGAAUGGUGUAACGUCAUUAUCUCGAUUCAAAGGAAAGCUCUCUGGUAGAUUGUAUGGGAUGCCGUCCUGUUUGUUGAUAACCCUAUCCGUCACCUUCGGUGUAGAAUGUUUACGGUACGCUCCUCGAAUAUCGGAACAACUCGUUAAUAUCGGAUCAGCAGUUUCCGGCUUUCCUUUUCUCGACUUUUUAUUCUCGAGCUCUAUUUUUCCUGCUUUCGCUUUCUCCGCUAUUGUUCUGUUUUGACUUUUCUCCUUUGAACCUUCCUUCUCUACACGCCCGACGGCAGAUUCUUUAUUGCUCUGCAACUCUCCAACAUCACUUUCAACAGUUCGCUUCAGCUUCAACAAUUUCAACUUUUCAUUCAUAUUUGCCCGCAUUUCGUUCAGAUUCUUCUGAUGCUCUUCUUCUUCCGCAAUUUUCUUUUCCAACUGCGCCUUCUCAAACUCCAAUUCCAUAUUCCGCUUCUCCCGUUCCAGCUGCUGACGCAUAUCAAGCAAUUCCUGCUGCAUUUGCAGUCUCUUCCGGUGCAAAAUCAUCUCUCUUUCAAUUUGCCGUUUUUGCUUUUUCUUCUCUUCCUCUAACUGUUCCAGUUCUUUCUGAAGCUCAGACGAAUCAGCAACAUCCGACUCACAUGCUUCGCAAUCCGGACAACUCCAGGAAAUGUUUCGUACGUCGUCAUUAACACCUGCACAACCGAAAUGAUACCAUCUUUGACAGUGAUCGCAAAAUACCAUAUUCGUUUCAUCGUUAUCGGGACGAUGGCAAGCCGCGCAAUUGUAGCCAGACUGUUCGGGAUUCUCGGGGUUACUAGUUCGAAUGCUUACGAAAUCUCUCCUACGACUCCGUAACUUCAGGCACUAUUUUCAUUUUCCCGCCGCUAUUGUUUUCCUUCUUUUUCGGGAUUUCCGGAUGACCGAAUGGUGUAACGUCAUUAUCUCGAUUCAAAGGAAAGCUCUCUGGUAGAUUGUAUGGGAUGCCGUCCUGUUUGUUGAUAACCCUAUCCGUCACCUUCGGUGUAGAAUGUUUACGGUACGCUCCUCGAAUAUCGGAACAACUCGUUAAUAUCGGAUCAGCAGUUUCCGGCUUUCCUUUUCUCGACUUUUUAUUCUCGAGCUCUAUUUUUCCUGCUUUCGCUUUCUCCGCUAUUGUUCUGUUUUGACUUUUCUCCUUUGAACCUUCCUUCUCUACACGCCCGACGGCAGAUUCUUUAUUGCUCUGCAACUCUCCAACAUCACUUUCAACAGUUCGCUUCAGCUUCAACAAUUUCAACUUUUCAUUCAUAUUUGCCCGCAUUUCGUUCAGAUUCUUCUGAUGCUCUUCUUCUUCCGCAAUUUUCUUUUCCAACUGCGCCUUCUCAAACUCCAAUUCCAUAUUCCGCUUCUCCCGUUCCAGCUGCUGACGCAUAUCAAGCAAUUCCUGCUGCAUUUGCAGUCUCUUCCGGUGCAAAAUCAUCUCUCUUUCAAUUUGCCGUUUUUGCUUUUUCUUCUCUUCCUCUAACUGUUCCAGUUCUUUCUGAAGCUCAGACGAAUCAGCAACAUCCGACUCACAUGCUUCGCAAUCCGGACAACUCCAGGAAAUGUUUCGUACGUCGUCAUUAACACCUGCACAACCGAAAUGAUACCAUCUUUGACAGUGAUCGCAAAAUACCAUAUUCGUUUCAUCGUUAUCGGGACGAUGGCAAGCCGCGCAAUUGUAGCCAGACUGUUCGGGAUUCUCGGGGUUACUAGUUCGAAUGCUUACGAAAUCUCUCCUACGGUAUUUCAAAUGAUUUAGAAUGGAUAAAUAUUAUACUCUAUCUUUUU